rnacentral:lncRNA from 1 species
AUGUCAUAGAUAGAUGCCUGCCCCUUCUCUUUGUGGGCAUGUAGUCUUUCUUUGAUCGCAGCCUCUUUAUACCCACAGAUUCCCCCAAGUUAACAACUCGUUGAGUGUUUACUCUGGGGACUUCUUGUUUGGGCUCAUCUUCAGCUACCUCGAAUAUGUGGAAUGAUUUCAGGCUAAGAUGGAUCCAACCAACUUUCAUCCAUGCACCCUGUUCUGGGGCUGAGACAGUAAGGAACAUUGCAAGCUACCAUUAGAUUUCUGUUUUUCCUCAUGACUCUCCUCUGGCAUCCUUAAGCAGCACUGGGCAAGAAGAGCCAGUGGACCAGCUCUGCCAGGAUCUAUCCACCUUCCCAUCUCAUAGCCCAAUCUCCAUCUCAGAAGCCAAGAAAUCCAUGCCUGUUUCCUCUGGUAUCAACCAUUCACGGAAUCCUCCUGCCAGCCCUUGGUGGUGUAAAUGGCAGAUGGGAACAGAUGACUGUGGCCUCUCAGCAUCCUGCCUUCCUGUGGUCCUGGGGCAAGUCCAGCGUCAGAGGGAGAACAGCCCAUCCCAGGGAAGACAGGUGUGCCUGAAUGAUGUCACUGGGAGCCCCUGGAGGGUUAUCAAGUUCAGAUUGAAACUAGGGCCUAUAGCGCCUGUAGAGAGAGGGUGGCAUCAGGGUGUCAGGAAUGUGAGGCUCGCCUGGGGGGGGAUCUGCUCCAUUUCCAAAUCCACUCUAUAGCCAACCUCCAUCUCCAGGAUCUUCCCAAAUGAUGAAGAGCUGAGCCCUGAGGAAGUCCACACUAUCUCCCUGCUUCGGAUAUUUAACCUGCUCCGGCCUCCACACAUGAAGAUACAGGACAACACAGGUGCACUGUGUGGAUUGUCUGUGGGAGAAGUUGGUGAAGACUUUCUGAAAGGUCCAGGAGGGUGGAGAAGACAGGGAGAAGGCAUGAGCAAAAGCUUCCAGGUUCAGAAGUGACCUUGAUCUGAACAGGUGCCGACGUGUUGGGAUACGGCAAGCUUGGAUGAUUCUUGACAACAAAGAACCUGGAACCAGGAUUUGGACUGCUUGUAGGAAAGUUUAAAUUAUCUUUAAAGCCUGUCUAAAAGUG